rnacentral:rRNA from 1 species
GACGAACGCUGGCGGCGUGCUUAACACAUGCAAGUCGAACGAGGUCCAACCUUCGGGUGAAGAUCUAGUGGUGAACGGGUUAGUAACAAGUGGGGAACCUGCCCUUCUCUCUGGGAUAACGUCGAGAAAUCGGUGCUAAUACAGGAUACUCCUUGCGGAUCGCAUGGUAUGAUCGGGAAAGCUUUUGCGGUGAUGGAUGGCCCCGCGGCCCUUUAGCUAGUUGGUGAGGUCACGGCCCACAAGGGCGAAGAUGGGUAGCCGAGCGGGGAGGCUGAUCAGCCACAAUGGGACGGAGACACGGGCCAGACGCCGACGGGAGGCAGUAGUGGGGAAUUUUGCACAAUGGGCGCAAGCCUGAUGCAGCAACGCCGCGUGCGGGAUGAAGGCCCUCGGGUUGUAAACCGCUUUCAGCAGGGAUGAAACUGACAGUACCUGCAGAAGAAGCCCCGGCUAACUACGUGCCAGCAGCCGCAGUAAUAC